CAGCAGCCGCGGGAAUACGAAGGGUGCAAGCGUUACUCGGAAUUACUGGGCGUAAAGCGUGCGUAGGUGGUGGUUUAAGUCCGUUGUGAAAGCCCUGGACUCAACCUGGGAAUUGCAGUGGAUACUGGGUCACUAGAGUGUGGUAGAGGAUAGUGGAAUUUCCGGUGUAGCAGUGAAAUGCGUAGAGAUCGGAAGGAACAUCUGUGGCGAAGGCGACUAUCUGGGCCAACACUGACACUGAGGCGCGAAAGCGUGGGGAGCAAACAGGAUUAGAUACCCCCGUAGUCCCUGUCUCUUAUAC
rnacentral:rRNA from 1 species